GCUGAACCUGCUGGUGAAGGUGGUGCAGCUUCCCAAGCCACGUCCAGGACUGAGGCUCUGGGAGAUGCUGAGGGUGUGUCUGCAGGGAGGACUUCUCCAGCUCCUUUGCUGAUUCCUACACAGAAGCCUGGCAACCAUCGCAGAGGUCCUCCGAAGGGGAAGGACCAAGCUACAGGACACCAGAAACCCCAUAAUCCAUCCGAAAACAUGAGGCAAAUGCCGAAGGAAAUGCAGCAGGCAGGAGAAG